rnacentral:tRNA from 1 species
GUGCCCGUAGUUCAGUUGGAUAGAAUUUUGGUUUCCGAAACCAAAGGUCGUGGGUUCGAAUCCCGCCGGGCGCACCA